AUUGAACGCUGGCGGCAUGCUUUACACAUGCAAGUCGAACGGUAACAGGCCGCAAGGUGCUGACGAGUGGCGAACGGGUGAGUAAUGCAUCGGAACGUGCCCAGUCGUGGGGGAUAACGCAGCGAAAGCUGCGCUAAUACCGCAUACGAUCUAUGGAUGAAAGCGGGGGACCGUAAGGCCUCGCGCGAUUGGAGCGGCCGAUGUCAGAUUAGGUAGUUGGUGGGGUAAAGGCUCACCAAGCCGACGAUCUGUAGCUGGUCUGAGAGGGCGACCAGCCACACUGGGACUGAGACACGGCCCAGACUCCUACGGGAGGCAGCAGUGGGGAAUUUUGGACAAUGGGGGCAACCCUGAUCCAGCAAUGCCGCGCGCAGGAAGAAGGCCUUCGGGUUGUAAACUGCUUUUGUACGGAACGAAACGGCUCUGGUUAAUACCCGGGGCUAAUGACGGUACCGUAAGAAUAAGCACCGGCUAACUACGUGCCAGCAGCCGCGGUAAUACGUAGGGUGCGAGCGUUAAUCGGAAUUACUGGGCGUAAAGCGUGCGCAGGCGGUGCUGUAAGACAGGCGUGAAAUCCCCGGGCUCAACCUGGGAAUGGCGCUUGUGACUGCAGUGCUGGAGUGCGGCAGAGGGGGAUGGAAUUCCGCGUGUAGCAGUGAAAUGCGUAGAUAUGCGGAGGAACACCGAUGGCGAAGGCAAUCCCCUGGGCCUGCACUGACGCUCAUGCACGAAAGCGUGGGGAGCAAA
rnacentral:rRNA from 1 species